AAUCUGAACUUGCUUUGCUUGUGAAGAAAAUUGGAGACGUCGAUUAACUUGUUGUGUAUCGACACUUUCCAUACCCAACAUUUCAUCCUCGCCUUCAUCAAUUACCUCACUGAUAGGUUGGAAUUUCAACGGUAGAAAACUGGCAAACGUAACAGGUAUCCUUUGUUGGAUACCAUUUUCCGGCGUUAUCUGCAUCCCGAAGUUUCCAGUUCCGCUAGGGUUGUGAAACAUUAUAGGCGCGGAACCCAUUCUGGUUAACCACUGAGCAGGCUUAUUCAUAGCAGGUGUUUAUAUUCUCUCCUCCUCCGGUAUCGCUUUUGUCACCGGUUGUUUCUUCCGUCCUCUCGCCAUGACUGGAGGCGCAAGUUAG
rnacentral:lncRNA from 1 species